rnacentral:snoRNA from 1 species
GCCUGGCUCUGAAUAGAGGCAGGCCUGGCCUCCUGGGCUUCUGGAGUGUUCCAUGCCAGGGCAGACUGCAGCCUGGAACCGUUGCUUGGCCUUCCUGUCUGUAGGCCCAGGCACCUCCCGCAAACACACACAU